rnacentral:rRNA from 1 species
AUACGUAGGGAGCGAGCGUUGUCCGGAAUUACUGGGUGUAAAGGGAGCGUAGGCGGGAUGGCAAGUCAGAUGUGAAAACUAUGGGCUCAACCCAUAGACUGCAUUUGAAACUGUUGUUCUUGAGUGAAGUAGAGGUAAGCGGAAUUCCUGGUGUAGCGGUGAAAUGCGUAGAUAUCAGGAGGAACACCGGUGGCGAAGGCGGCUUACUGGGCUUUUACUGACGCUGAGGCUCGAAAGCGUGGGGAGCAAACAGGAUUAGAUACCCUGGUAGUCCACGCUGUAAACGAUGAUUACUAGGUGUGGGGGGACUGACCCCUUCCGUGCCGCAGUUAACACAAUAAGUAAUCCACCUGGGGAGUACGGCCGCAAGGUUGAAACUUAAAGGAAUUGGCGGGG